rnacentral:misc_RNA from 1 species
GCAAACUUGGUCAUUUAGAGGAAGUAAAAGUCGUAACAAGGUCUCCGUAGGUGAACCUGCGGAGGGAUCAUUACCGAGUGAGGGUCUCACGACCCGACCUCCCACCCAUGUUAUUUAAACCUUUGUUGCCUCGGGGGUAACCUUUGCUCUCGGGCUUGGGCCCCCGGUGGAUCAUUUCAAAACACUGCGUCUAAUGCGUCGGAUAUUGAAGCAAAAUUUGAUUAAAACUUUCAACAACGGAUCUCUUGGUUCUGGCAUCGAUGAAGAACGCAGC